rnacentral:tmRNA from 1 species
GGGGUCGACUGGUUUUGACAGCAGGUCGAAUUGAACGAUAAGCAUGCCGAGAAUGGGGACAAUUUCUCGUUAAUCCAAAAGUCCCAACACUUUUACACGGCGAAAAUAACUACGCUUUAGCUGCUUAAUCCGAAUUAUAGUACGAUGAGCCACGUCUCUGCAAGGCAGGGAAGCUGGAUUCUCCUUGAAAGCCCUGGUCUGUGGCGUUCUUUAAAGGGGAACCGUAAAAAUAGACCUAGGGAUGUUGAAGCUUCGGCGCCAUCCUGACAACUAAGAAGCUAAGCAUCAGUCGGCUGUUCCUGGCCACAGCUGAUGACGAAAAUCCAAUCAGGAAAUAAGCAUGUAGAAAGUCCUUUGGUUGCCUGUUUGGACCCGGGUUCGAUUCCCGGCGACUCCACCU